rnacentral:lncRNA from 1 species
GGCAGAUACUUGUAGUUGUCCUCAAAUUUCAUACUCUCAUUUUUCUUUAUUAAUAUAACCACACAUUUUUAACUGAGCUCAUUGAUCAUCAUAACAGAGUCUAUUGAAAGUCCUCAGCAGGCGGUGUGACGAUGUGACCAGCUCUGGCCAAGGAGCUGUAGGCAGAAGUGUCUUGCAGCAGCUCCUGUAAAUCUUAAAAGACAGCUGGUGCGUGUCUUUUUUCCUUUUUUUUUCCCUUCCCCCUUCCUGCUGCGCUGAAUAUGGAUAUGGUGAGUGAAUCUAGAGCAGCCAUUUGGAGGUAUGAAGAGAUCUUGGAAAUAGAGGCCAUGUGUGUUGAAACAAGACCGAACAACUCCAAGUUCCUGAAGACUUCAUUUCACCAACCCAGAACCUCCUUGAUCAUCACAGUGGUCGAACCAUUUUACAUUUUCACCAGCAAUGAAGGAGGGUUCCUGUUGCUCUACCAUUUGGUACUGUCAGCGUUUUGGAUAUUAGCCGUCCUAAUAGAAAAGAGUGAGUAACUAGUGGCCUUUAGAUGAGCCAACCGCAAGCCUGGACUCAUCUUUGACAUCUCCUGCUUCCCUCCAUAAUGACCGUCGUUGCUCCUCUUGCCCAAGGUGUUUGACUCUUCCUACAGCCUUUGCAUGGAUGAUUGUCUGUCCUCUGUUGGGCCCCUUCUGAAGAGUUGGAGUUGGGUAAGUGUCACUCAUGAGAGCAGGAACACAAUCAGGCAAACCACAGGUGAGCCUUCUAGCUUUAUUUUCAUGUAACUAUGAUUGUCCACUCUCUUCCUUCAACCAACCUGCUGUCAGGUCACUGCAGACCGUAUUUAAAGAACUCAAAAUGAUCACAAACCUAAUAUUAAACCUUAGCACCCUAAGAAUAUAACUUCUCUCACCCUGACCCUUAGGUUAUAGAACCUUUUUCAUUUAGCAGGAGGAUAUCUAUUUGUUAUUUGUUGUUGUUGCUUGCAAGACACAAGUAAGACAGCAGUGAUUAAUAUAACAGCAGAAAAAGAGAUCCAAACCACAUGGGUUAUCUUCAAAUAUAAAUCACUUUCUUUUUCAAAUGGGCUGAUAAGGUUUAGGGAAAGGUAUUGGGAAAAUAGAAAUGAGGGACGGGGUGAAAGAAGACCCUACUUUUUGUGUAGCCUCCUUUCAUGAUAUCUUAGAGCUCUCCAGAGUGACCUGAAUUUAAUAAGGGACACGUGGUCUAGAUCUAAAAGUUCAUUCAAUAGAGGAAAAUUCACAAACUGCAGCUCUGCUUCUCCGGUUUUCAAAGAAAGAAAAGGUUGGUUUUCUUCUGGGACUAAUGUUGGUAAGAUUAAAUGUUAAUGCUUGGAACAUUUUCCAGUAAAAGGUGCUGUGUAAACUUCAAAUAAUACACUUGUUUUGCAGGUUAAACUUUUUGUUUUUACAGAGACGUAGCAUUUCAGGAGAACUUUUCCAAAAGCUGUUUACUUUUUCCUGGUGCUUCUUAAUACUUGAAAGAUUUUUCUGCUAAUUAAAGAUUCCCAAAUAAGUGGCAUGAUACAAAAGGAUAAUGUAUCUUCUGUUUGUCCAGUUAAAUAUUGGCUGAAUGAAUCACAAUGAACAAAUGAAUAAAUGUAUAAAAGAAUAAGUAGCCAUGUGGAAUUAGGUGGUUCUUUUUGAAAUAUACAAAAGUUACAUAUUUUUAUGGGGAUGAUUUCUGAGAAUUACAGGUGAUGAUUUGAUUAUAACAAAAGACAAAACUAAAUAAGUAGAGCUGCCUUUCUACUCCAUGCAGAAAAACAAAAGUUGAAAAAUGAAGCAAUUAUCUGGAUAGUUCAGACAAAAAACUAACUAUAGAGGGAACGAGGCCCUUUUUCGUGGCCCAGAUUCAUUUGAGCCAUCCAAUAACAUGACCCACUAUAGUGGAAUUUGGCAUUAAGCAGGCUUGUCUUGGCUCCUGUCCAGUGGGGUUUAGUUACUGAAUUCCUUAAAGGACAUUGUUCAAACAUGGUCUCCCAUGUAACUCGGUUCUAAGGCGUGAGCUGCAAGAACCCUGACAUCACCAUGUGACUCCAGGUCAUUAUUUCAUUGGAUCAAAUUAUCCAGAAAAACACUAUCAUUCCAGUUUACCUUUCUGGGUUAGGCAAACAUAAAAUGAAUUGUCCAAGAUUUGCUACAUAACAAUUACAUGGAAAUAACUAAAAGCUUUGCCUGCAAAGUGUAUUAGUAAAUAUGAUCCUGAUUCCUGGAUUCUGCAAAUAGAAGCAAAUUGGUAUCUGCUAAUUCUUCACUCACCACACCUGCCUUCUAUAAUCUUGGUUUCUCUGAACGCAUAUUUGGUUACUGAAAUAAUUGUGUUGAUUUGAUGAAUGAUAGAAAUCACAACAGUUAAAUUGCCUACCACUCCAACUGUCUGUCAUGACUCUAACUUCCUCUCUGAACUCUUGUUUACCAAUUCAAGAAAAUGCAAGGAUGUUUUGCAGAGGGUAAGCAUAUUGCAGAAAUAGCAAUGAUGGUCUUUUACUUGCUUCCUCAGGACUGCCACAGCUUUGCUGGCCAUGCCUGAGCAAGGUUUUUUAUAAAACAACCUGGGACUGGGCAUUCUGCCCAUGCACACACCUGGCAAAUCAUAGCCUUCCCUCCUUGGGAACUCAGAUGCACACUGGGUUCCCGUUUUCUUUGACUGCAAAACAGACAAGGACCAGCUGGUUAGUGCUGACAGGGUUCACACUACUGAUGGGAACACUACUUAAGUGUCCUGCAUUUGCUCAUUAUUUAUCAAUGGGGAGAUAUUUUUCUGGAGAAAAGCAAGUCCUUUGUCUUCUAUAGAGCGGAAAGUCUGUUAUUCCGAUGGGAGAUGACCUAGGAAGGAAAAGUUGAUCAUUCAUUUCCCAUGUGUAAAGUCCCAAGUGUAAUUCCCAUGUGUGAGAUUUUAUUUUAAAGAUUUGAGUUCUAAUAUAAGAAAUUAAUUGUGGCCCUAGAAAUACCAGAUUCUCAACUUUUUUCUGUAGCAAUAUAAUUUUUAAUAGCCGAGUAUGUCAUUUUUCAUUUACCAGGUUGCUUUUAUCACUAAUUUGAAGCAUAUAUGAUUGUUAUAAGUAUUAUUAAUUACUUGUAUAUAACUUUACACUGAAAAUAACUUCUGACAUCAUUGGCCUCAAGACAUCCAAUAAUGCCAUGCCAUGUUUAAUGUGUGAGUAUAGAGAUAACACGUUCCUGUAUGGGUGUGCAAACCUCAUGUGAGCCUGGGGACUCUGAGAGAUAGAAAAGUGGAGAAUCAGGCACUUGGCUGAUGAAGGGGUAAGGAAGGAACCUCUAAUGCCUGUCCUGUUCUCUCCUCACUAUUCCACCUAUUUUCCAACAUUGUGUGGGACAACAUAGAAAAAAAAUUAAAAAUAAAAAUUUCUACACCUUUACCUGAAAUUUAAAACUCCCAAGCUUUUAUUCUCUCCCUCCUCCAACUCUUCUGUUUUUUUUUUAUCUCUACUUCUCUGUCUCCACCUCCUCCUCUUCUCUCCUUCUCUUGUUUUGCUCUUUUUAGUCUUGUUAGAUCAAAUAUCAGGUUCUCUUUUGUCUUUAUUACUCUGCUUAACAUUGAAUAUUCAUAUUCAUUCAAGUAAGCUCAUUUUUGCAUGUUUCCCAACCAAGAAACUAACAGAACAUAAUAGAAAUGUAACUGAUACUAAGCUAUUGUCCUGGAAGCAGAUCUCAUUACAAUUAUAUGUAAGAGAUAUUUAAAAAUAGCUCUAAACCAGGAGGCAUAUUUAUGGUCUUCUGAAGACGAACAGACUUAUUUAUAGGUGAAGAGUCAUUCCAUAAGAUAAGCUAAAAUUAAUCAUACCACUGAAUUUUCAAAGAGGUUAGAGUCCAAAUUAAAUAUAGAAGGGCAAACCAGUUUCUUCCUCUUAUGUAUUUUAAUGAAGACUAGAGAGACUGGAGAAAUAUUUAUAUUCUUUUAUUCAUAUUUUCAGGAUUGCCUCAUGUCUCAAUUUUUUUCCCCCAAAUCUCCCCCUUAAGUGAGGGUACUUCAAAGUGAAUAUGGGGAUUCUCAACUCCUCAUAUCUUUUUGUUUAAAAAGGAAGAAUUAAUGGGACUAAAAAUUUAAAACAACAGAUGUACUAAACGUGUGAUUACUGCUGUGAAUAAGACAUAUGGGGGAGUCCCACUCCCUGUGGUUGAGGGCUGUGGUGGAGGUCUGAUUCCAUCCCAGAGGAGCUGAGCCUCAAGCCGCCACUAGGAAAGGACCGCUGAUUUCCCUCAGCGUGAAGGAGAUAAGGAGCCAUUGCUGUCUAAACAUAGCUAUCUAACCGCUUGUGGUUAACAGGAGACCCUGCUAAGAAUUUGGGGUAAUUCAGUUAAGAAUGACUAUUGGAAUGUGCUGUGUGGUAAGGGAGAAAAUCUACUUCCAACUGACUUGCCACGUGACUCUGAUGGAAUUCAAGGGCAGAGAGGAACCAACUCUUCUAGACUCCUCUGCCGAUGGCAACAUGGUGAAGUGAGCUGCACUCCAGAAUCCAGGGUCACAACAGUUCCAGUUGUGCUUAAAUGCUAUCUCUUCCAUUCUGGCCCCAGAUUUUUUUUUCUGUCUCUCGACAGAGCUACAUAGCUGAGUCAUGACGCCUUGAGUGAGAAAACAGCGUCUUCAGACAGUGCCUGAGAUAAGAAAAAAAGUGAAGUAGAGUCCCCAGAACAGUGGUGUGUAUGUUGAUAUCACUGAGUUAUGGACUAUUUCCUUUUAGCCAGUUUCAAAAGAUGACUUAGAUGACUUUCUCCAUAUGCAAUUAAUUCCACAUAUAACUACAAGAAACUGCAUAUUUUAGAACAGUUGUGUCAUCAGUAUGAAUGUUUAAACAAUCUCUGUGGUCUCUUUCCCACAAACUGAUUUAACAUGUAUAUAAAGAGGCUUUGGAAUGAGCACUUUACAUUUGCUUCUCAAACUUCAGCGUCUGUUUUCAGUAAAUAUUGAAGAUGAAACUUGCCUCAUUCAUGCCUGGAGCACUGGCCAGUUACAACAAAGGAAUGCGGUUGCUGGGCUUCUCAUGAAUAAAAUUCUCCAGUUGUGAACCUAGCCUUUCUCAGGCCAUGUCAACAGCAAAACAACAGAAUGGAUGUGGAAUAAAGCAUUGGUGGUCAGUCUGUUGAGCUGGCUACAGAUUAUCCUAAUUAAUAUCCCAAUGGUGGGAGUAACACAGACCCACGUUCAAAUUCUGCCUCUAUCAUUUAUAGGUGGGGUGCCCAUGUAUUUGAGUUUGCCCAGGGUGGUUUCAGCUCACUCUUACUGCUCUGGUGUAAUUAUUGAUAGCAAUUCCUUCCUAUUUCAGAUGUGUCCCAGUGUGAGCUAUAAUACAUAUGCUCACCCUACUCAUAGCAACACCCCGCUGACUUCUCUGUGUCCCUGCUUUUUACGGGUACAGGAGUAUGUGUUGGGGUUCUAUUCUAGAGGCCCAUUUCAUAUGACAAAGUCAUCAAAACUGAUUAUAAAAUAACUUAAUUAAAACAAACUACAUAUGUGGUAUAACAAUUUAUUAAAAUAUUAAGGUAUGGUUUUUCUCCUCACACAUUUUUUUCCUUCUUCGCUGAUUUUAAGCAGGAACCUGUUCCUUGUAUGCUCCUUUGCCUCAGGGACUUUUUGCAGGAUGGAAGGGGAAAGCCCCUGAAGUCCUCCGUGACUAUUUUUGUCUUUUGUAAAAGCCUAAGACCCUUGAAGAGAUAAUGUUAAGUGCCCCAGACUCCAAAAAAGAGAGGCAAAGUCACUGGAGGGCAAAGCGAGGCAAGAGAAGCUCUUUUGCCUAAUAGGAUAGAGAAGGAAGGCUGAAGACCCCUCUAAGAAAGCGAGCAGAAGAGCUGCUAACUAAACCCAUUAGUUUUAGGAUCAGCUUUAUAAUUUGCAAGGCCCAGUGCAAAAUGAAACUGUGGAAACUUUUGUCCAAAUUUCAGGACUUCAAUAGAAGAGCAUUAAAACAAACUCAGGGUUUUUCUGAGCAGGGGACCCUGUGAGACUACCCAUGUCACUUGUGAAUAAAGCUAUCCCUUCCCAGAGGAGAUGGCUCCUCAGGGCAUCUAGAGGGAGGCACUUUCCUCAAAGCCUUCUAACCACAAAUUGGCACCACCAAAAUUCUGGGCCCACUGUGGGCUUCACAGUGGGAUGCCAGUGAUACCUUGAAAAAUUGGAGGUUAGAGCUCCUUCCUCAAUUGUCCUUAUCCCGAGCAAGCUUUCCAGGUAGUGGUAUGGUUUUGGGAAGGAGAGGGGGCCCUCAAAAGGAUGAGGUAGAUGUUUUUGCCAUCUUUUAAGGAUGGAGGCUGAGAGUCAGAAAAUUAAAUUGAUUUAAAGAAAUGAGGAAAUUGAUAUGUUUUGAACACUUCAGUUUGUAGACUAAAAUUUAUUCAACGUAUGCUUUUAUAAAUAUUUAAGCAUAUAAAACCAAAUGUUUAAUAUAAGAUCCACAUUGUAAAUAUUCCUUUGAGAGUAUUUUUCUGCAUGGACUGGAAUGGCUGAGCUUCUUAAAAUAUAAGUCCAUGAAAUGGAAGGAAAGAUGCCUGCUUUUCCUUCACUACUGCAAGGACCCUUGAUCUCCAUUUAAAAUUCAGAUUGUCACAAACAUUUUUCUUGUCCAUUUCAUGUGCAAAAAUGCUCUAAGAGUCAUUGAAUGGUAGGUUCUGUGAGAUGAGAAAUUUCCACGGCUUUGGUAACUGAUUAUAAAUUUGAGCAUCUCAUUUAGGAGGGAGUAAAUGUUUUUUUUAAAAGUCACAAUUCUCUGUAAUAGUGUGAUAUUUGAGCAAGUUCCUUAACCUGCUAUAUAGCGUUCUUAUCUGUAAAAUGAGGAUCAUACCUCUUGGGUUGUUGUGAGGACUAAUGAGGUGACAUACACUCUACCUGGCAUACUAAAUGGUGGAUCCAGGACCUGACUCUGCUAUGUUAGUCAUAUAAUGGGGACACAAUUUCUAGUUCAUGGUUACCUCAAGCUGCUGCUGCUGCUGCUGCUGCUUCUGCUGCUGCUGCUUCCUCUUCUUCUUCUUCUUCUUCUUCCUCUUCCUCUUCCUCUUCUUCUUCUUCCUCCUCCUCCUCCUCCCCCUCCUCCUCCUCCCCUCCUCCUCCUCCUCGUCCUCCUCCUCCUCCUUAUUCUUCUUCUUCUUCUUCUUUGGUUGUAAAUAAGAGAACCCCCAACCACCAUGAAGUGCUGGAGGUUUUUUUUGUUGUUUUAACACUAAGGUAAAUUGCCUUGUCUGCAAAAGGACAAGCUAACGCCAAUCUCCUUAGAUGCCCAUGGACCAUGGAACAGAUUACUUCAUGCUGCUGUCAACCACCCCUGGCCUUGGGCAUAUAUUGAAUCAUUGGGGAUUACAAUCAAAAAGGACCAGAGAGAUCAUUGCCUUCACUGGUCUUUGAAGUGCAUACCUGGGAAGGGCUCUGUGGAGGUGAUUUAGGGACUUUGCAGGGAGCCCAAGGGGCCUCCUAGCAUAUGUGGUCCCAGACAUCUACUUCCCACUUUGCCAGAGGAAACGCCAGAGGUAUCUGUUUUAUAUAUUGGCCAUCUAAGUAAGGUUUUAACAAAAGGGCUCUGCAGCCAUGAACAUUUGAAAAUCAUGGAUCUGAUCCAACCUUGUAAUUUUAGAGUUGAUGACAUUUCGAAGUAGAAGACUAAGUGUCUUAACCAAUAUCACACAGCUAGUUAGUGGCAGAGCCAGGAGUAACCGAAGGUCAACUCCCAGUCCUGAACAGUUUUCCAUCUAGCAGACUGCCUUUUGCUGAAAGAUGAAGCUAAAAUCGCAGAUGUUGCAGGGUCAAGAUUAACACCUUACAAAUCAGAUGUACAAAAACAGUAGCUUAUUUAUUUUCUGUAACUGAUUUAAUCUUGCUCUGAAGCUCUCAUUUCCACCAAUGGUGGAAAUAAACUUGCUAAGUUACAGUCUCUUCCAGGGUGGAAAAAAAGGGGAAGAGGGCUUCCUUCACUCAAUUUGAUGCUGAAACUCCCUAUCAGAGUCUAUUCUCUACUUUCUAUAGAUCUCCCCUUCCCUCCUUCUUCCCAAAACAGUGUGUAAGUAAUGGAGAAAUUAUGGAUCUGUUAGUCUCAAUCUCCUUUCUCAAUGAAAGGAGUCUCAAUCCAGACCCCAAGACAGGGUUCCUGGACCUCAAGCAAGAGAGAAUUCAGGGUGAGUCCAUACAGUAAAGUGAAAGCAAGUUUAUUAAGAAAGUAAAGGAACAAAAGAAUGGCUACUCUAUAGCCAGAGCAGUGGUAUAAGCUGCUCAAUUGAGUAUACUUAGAGUUAUUUCUUGAUUAUUUGAUAAACAAGGGGUGGAUUAUUCAUGAGUUUUCCAGGAAGGGGUCAGAGAUUUCCCGAAACUGAGGGUCCCUCUCCUUUUUAGAUUAUGUAGGGUAAAUUCCGAAUGUUACCAUGGCAUUCGUAAACUGUCCUGGUGCUGGUGAGAGUGUCUUUUAGCAAGCUAGUGCAUUAUAGUUAACGUAUAAUGAGUAAUGUAGAUGACCAGAGGUCACUUUCAUCACCAUCUUGGUUUUAGUGGGAUUUGGCCGGCUUCUUUACCACAUCCUGUUUUAUCAGCAGGGUCUUUGCGACCUGUGUCUUGUGCCAACCUCCUAUCUCAUCCUGUGACUAAGAAUGCCUGACCUCCUGGGAAUGCAGCCCAGUAGGUCUCAGCCUUAUUUUACCCAGCCUCUAUUCAAGAUGGAGUCGCUCUGGUUCAAAUGCCUCUGUCAGGUUCUCAUGGAGGCAGGAGGAGGGCUGUAUAAACUUGCAGGUUGUCUUUCUCUGCAGGUUGCUGCUGCUGUGCAGCUGAGGUACAAUCCCUCUCGUUCUUUGGGCAUCAGCCUCUGUUCUCCCUACAUGUGCUGUGUAAGUGUCUGCAGCUGGUGUAGUUUGUGGUCUGUUCUCUCAGCAUGGGCAAUCUAUGGUGAUAGCUCCCAUGAAGCUAGGCCAUCUCUCCCUGGGAAAAUUCUAACCAGGGUACUGGUGCCAUGGGAAGGCCAUCUUCAGAACAGAACUGGCUGCUGUUUAGGGAAGCUUCUCUUUAUCAGGCACCUAAGCAACUGAAAAUUAACUAGAAUGCUAUACAUUCUUUCCUUAACGUUUUCUUGAAGUAGAAAAUUAAAAGCAGACAAAUAAUUAUUUUGAAAAGUAAGUCUUCUUGUUAAAGACAGCAGAGUAAAAACACUUAUGCCAUUCCCCUUUCUAAAAAUCCAAUGAAAACAAUAAAUGGAACAAAAAUAGAAGGACAAAACAUCUCCCUAUCAUGAAUGAAGUGAGGAAACAGCUAUAAUCCCAAACCACAAACUCUGAAGUAUACCUGCCAAAUAUUGUGAGCAUGGAUGGAGAUAAGGGAGACCCUUAAUGCUGACAAAUGCCUCUUUGGAUCUCAAACAGGAUAUAUAUUUCUCUAAAAUUAAGUGAGGUAAGCUAGAAAAGUCAAGCCAAUUGUUCCUUGAUUAGAGAGAAGGGCUUGAAGGGCGUGAAUAAGACCAGGGGAGAACAGAGACUGUCCUUAGACAUAUACUGAGUUUGAGAUGCUACAGAUUAUUCAAUUUCUCCUUUGUACUUUUCUGAAUUUUUUGAGUUUUUUUAUGAAUACUUUUUGCUGAAACAGUAGUCAUUUUAAUAAUCACUAAAUGCUAAACAACCACCCCCACCCCCCACCAAAAAAAGUAACAACUGGUUUUGUUAACUGUGCAGAAGGGUUAAAGGAUAAUAGCUACAUUGGAAAUCUUAGAGAAGGAUAGCCUUUAUUAUAAAACCCUAAUAGGCUAUAGAGUAUAAAAAGAUAAAUCAGACCAGAGUCUGGAAGAAGGGGGAAGAAUAAACUGAAGGCCAAAUUGUUCUGCAUUUAAAUAUGGGCUCAAGUAGUAGGACUUGGCUGAGUUUAUUACUCUCAAGAGUCAAACAGAAAGAGAAGGAGUGAGG